CUGACGUCCACAGAACUGCUAAAAUAUGAACUAAGCUCAACCCACUUACCUGAGACUCUACACCUGACUGUCCCUGGUCUCCCUGUUCCUCAGGUCUUCUUUGCCUGUGACACAGUGACUUUAAAAUUUCCAUAAGCACCCAUUCUUCUAAAGUUGUUACCAAAUUGUCUUUAAAUGAGGACUUAUUGUACUUACAUGUCUGUUUUUCUUUGCUCUGUCAUUUUAUUUUGGCAACAACACAAGUCUUUAACAUCAGAUGUCUAAAUAUGAGUUAGGUUACAGGUUCACCACUCGGUGAUAUUAUGAUUAUAAAAUGAUCUUGCGUCCUCCACAUGAAUAUUAGGUUUUGUCUGGGACAGAGGAUAUUUAUUCAACUGCAACAAAGCCACUGAUCAAUAAAAUCAUAUUGAGCAAAACACAACCUGUAGAUCUUUAAUAUUAACCUUAAUAUCAGUUCACGCACA